ACUUAAUACGUUUUCCAUCUUUUGUGCUAUUUUGCCGGUUAUUAGCGCGCUCAUCACUGUAUAUAAAAGAAAGUCGAGGUUGUGUUAGUUACACCAUUUAUAACUCGAGAACGACUGAACAGAUUUUUAUGAAAUUUUACAUGUAUAUUCUAGCGGUCUGGGAAUAGGAUAAUAUGGAGUUUCAUACCCGUACGUCAUAAGGGGUGUUGCCCCCCCUGAUAUAUUUUUUUAAUUUUUGGAAAAACCGUUUUUUACUAUUUUUAUGAGAUGUAGAAGCAAAAGAUACAUGCAAUCCUAAAUUUUCAAUUUUUUAUCUCAGACCGUUAUUUUUUAAUAGCCAUUUAAAUAUUUUACAUCUAUAUAUAUAAAAGAAAGUCGAGGUUGUGUUAGUUAUACCAUUUAUAACUCGAGAACGACUGAACAGAUUUUUAUGAAAUUUUACAUGUAUAUUCUAGCGGUCUGGGAAUAGGAUAAUAUGGAGUUUCAUACCCGUACGUCAUAAGGGGUGUUGCCCCCCCUGAUAUAUUUUUUUAAUUUUUGGAAAAACCGUUUUUUACUAUUUUUAUGAGAUGUAGAAGCAAAAGAUACAUACAAUCCUAAAUUUUCAAUUUUUUAUCUCAGACCGUUAUUUUUUAAUAGCCAUUUAAAUAUUUUACAUCUAUAUAUAUAAAAGAAAGUCGAGGUUGUGUUAGUUACACCAUUUAUAACUCGAGAACGACUGAACAGAUUUUUAUGAAAUUUUACAUGUAUAUUCUAGCGGUCUGGGAAUAGGAUAAUAUGGAGUUUCAUACCCGUACGUCAUAAGGGGUGUUGCCCCCCUUGAUAUAUUUUUUUAAUUUUUGGAAAAACCGUUUUUUACUAUUUUUAUGAGAUGUAGAAGCAAAAGAUACAUACAAUCCUAAAUUUUCAAUUUUUUAUCUCAGACCGUUAUUUUUUAAUAGCCAUUUAAAUAUUUUACAUCUAUAUAUAUAAAAGAAAGUCGAGGUUGUGUUAGUUACACCAUUUAUAACUCGAGAACGACUGAACAGAUUUUUAUGAAAUUUUACAUGUAUAUUCUAGCGGUCUGGGAAUAGGAUAAUAUGGAGUUUCAUACCCGUACGUCAUAAGGGGUGUUGCCCCCCCUGAUAUAUUUUUUUAAUUUUUGGAAAAACCGUUUUUUACUAUUUUUAUGAGAUGUAGAAGCAAAAGAUACAUACAAUCCUAAAUUUUCAAUUUUUUAUCUCAGACCGUUAUUUUUUAAUAGCCAUUUAAAUAUUUUACAUCUAUAUAUAUAAAAGAAAGUCGAGGUUGUGUUAGUUACACCAUUUAUAACUCGAGAACGACUGAACAGAUUUUUAUGAAAUUUUACAUGUAUAUUCUAGCGGUCUGGGAAUAGGAUAAUAUGGAGUUUCA